rnacentral:rRNA from 1 species
UACAGAGGGUGCGCGCGUUGUCCGGAAUCACUGGGCGUACAGGGCGCGUAGGCGGCUUGAUAAGGUUGCGGUGAAAGCCCGGGGCUCAACCCCGGGUCGGCCGUGGCAACUGUCGAGCUGGAGCACUGUAGAGGCAGGUGGAAUUCCGGGUGUAGCGGUGGAAUGCGUAGAGAUCCGGAAGAACACCGGUGGCGAAGGCGGCCUGCUGGGUAGUGGCUGACGCUGAGGCGCGACAGCGUGGGGAGCAAACAGG